UCAGGUCCCUGUUGAGGCGCCAUUUGUGGUGGAUGGCCUGCGUCCCCACAUGGCUAGGU
rnacentral:miRNA from 1 species